CAAAGCCCUAACAGGAGAACACAGAAUAGGAAGAGGAUCCUUAGAGGAGCGUCUGAGACGCCUCCUAAACUCAGAUAACUCAGGAUUCUACAGAAGCUGUGCCAAAGUCCAACAGCCACCCCAAUCCUGGACAGGUGACGGACAGAGAGGGCAACAGAGCGACGGAUGGAGAAGGUCAGGAGGAACAUAAAGGACCCAACGAAGAUGCAGGUCCAUCCCAAACCAGACCGCAGGAACACUCUGGAAAAGGGAACUAGAGGCUCAACCAAAUGCGUCGGGACCUGAUGGCAUAGAGCUCAUUCUGGAAGUAGAACUUCUCAUGUAAGGACAGCAGACUGUAAUACUGCAGGCACUCGGAGGGUAAAUAUUGAAUUAACCUAUGAAGGACAGCAAGGGAUCUCCAAGUGUCAUGCCAGAGAUCAGGACUCAGGAUGAUGGCCAAGAAUCUCUGCACUCGUCAGAGAGACUGUUAACAGAUGUGAGUUAUAGAUAGAUGUAAACAAUAUAGAACAAUAUAAACAGAACACUCUGAUCCACACUACAGAUUGUGGACCUUGGACCCUCCCCAUCAGGGAUCAAGUUUAUAAAUCAGUGCUGGUCUCACUUAUGACUGGUAACAUAAACUGAAGUAUAAAACUUCAGUUAAAACUAAUAUUAAAAUCUCACCUUCAGUCGAAAAACAAACA